AUGGUACUCCUUGAGGAAGUCCUGCAGCGCCGGGGGCAGUGGCAGCCCGCCGAUGCCGUCGUACGUGCUCCGGCGGCAGAUGGCGGCGCGGGCCAGGUGCUGCAGGCUGAAGGGGAAGGUCCGGUGGAGCGGCGCCGUCAGCAGCGGCUCAAAGAACAUGCAGGCGCUGGGGUCCUUGUAGUGCUCCAGCAGGCCCGUCACGGUGGACGAGUGGAACACGCACGGGUCGUGGGCGUCAAAGCUGAAGUUGUGGUUCCACUGCUCGAUGCGGGCGUGCAGCGAGCGGUUGUAGCGGCGGAAGCUGACGGAGAAGAGGUAGUCUUCUUGGGCGGAGUCCCGCAGCAGGAAGGUGCCCUCGGGCCGGCCGUCCAGCAGCGCCUCGGCCUGGUAGCGGUCCAUCACGCCCCAGUAGCAGGGCAACGACGUGAUCUGCAGCAGGUCCGGCACCAGACAGUGGAUAUAGUCGAUCUGGGUGUGGACCUUCCAGGGCCCCGGCUGCAGCUGCUGCUGCUGCUGCUGCCGGCCGUCCCCGGAGGCGUGUCUCUGCUUGGGCCUGCGGGCCUGCAGACACAGGGUGGUCGAGUCCUCCUCAGAGUCACAGUCCUGGGCCGAGGCCAUGGCUGUGGCCGGCACCGGCCCGCAGGCCCCCGAGGGCCCCGCCACCCCCUCCCCCGAGCCCUCUCCGACGCCAGGCGCCAUCUUUGGUCCCAGUUUGUAGAGGGAGGAGCCCGACGGCGAGGCCUCCAGCGUGUGGAUCUGGGCGUUGGGCGGCGGGUCCACGCCCUCCUCGAUGCUCUGCCGGCGGCGCUCGCGCAGACGCUCCUCCUCGUCCUCGGGGGAGGGGUGGGCCGGGUCGAAGGCGUCCAGCAGGGCGCUGGAGGAAUGCGGGCUGACGGGCGCCGUGUGCUGCUUGAUGAGGUGCCACUUGUGGGCCAGGUCCGAGCCGGGCGGGAAGGGGCAGGUCUCCAGCAUGAGCUCCGUCAGGUGGAUCUUGCGCUUGGACACGACGGGGGCUUUGGACGGGUGGCGGCGGCGGGCCGGGAGCGGCAGGCAGAGGCCCACCGUGUCGCUGAGCCGCUGCCGCAGCGAGCGGGCGCUGAGGCUCCGCCCCCCCGGCGCACAGUCCCCGACCUCCUGGAUGGAGCUGACGCCGUAGCGCCGGUCGCGCCGCACCCCGCCGCCCCGCGACCUGGCCGACCGCCGGUCCGCCUCCAGGGAGCUCUGGGUCUUGGUGGAGCACGAGUGUUUUUUCUUGCCCCCCCACGGAGCGUGUCGGGAGUAGGAGUCUCGACGGGCCAUGGGGACCCCCGUCGCGCCGCCGCCGCCGCCGCGCACGUCCUCCGUGUCCUUGUCGACGCUGAUCUCCACGAACUGGGGCACGUCGGACACACAGUUGUGGUGGUGUCUCCGCCCGGCGGUGACCAGGGGGAGCGGGAGGAUGCUCCUGGACGGGCUGGGGGCCGCGGAAGCCUGGGGCUCCCCCGGACCGCCUCCGGGGCAGAGGUCCACCACGCAGUGGACGGCGUCCGCCUCGACGCCGUCGCAGGCCGCACCGGAGCCGUCGCUGUGGAACAGGGUGUGGCAUUUGCUUCGCAGGUUGCUCCACAUCUUGCCCACCGCGUCCAUCAAUAG
ensembl:lncRNA